rnacentral:rRNA from 1 species
AAUAUUGGACACUGGGGGCAACCCAGAUCCAGCCAUGCCGCGUGUGUGAAGAAGGACUUCGGAUUAUAAAGCACUUUAAGUUGGGAGGAAGGGCUUUAGGCUAAUACCCUGAAGUUUUGACGUUACCAACAGAAUAAGCACCGGCUAACUCUGUGCCAGCAGCCGCGGUAAUACAGAGGGUGCAAGCGUUAAUCGGAAUUACUGGGCGUAAAGCGCGCGUAGGUGGUUCAGUAAGAUGGGUGUGAAAUACCCGGGCUUAACCUGGGAACUGCUUUCAUAACUGCUGGGCUAGAGUAUGGCAGAGGGUGGUGGAAGUUCCUGUGUAGCGGUGAAAUGCGUAGAUAUAGGAAGGAACACCAGUGGCGAAGGCGACUACCUGGACUGAUACUGACGCUGAGGUGCGAAAGCGUGGGGAGCAAAC